rnacentral:rRNA from 1 species
GCAUUUUGAUUCUGGCUCAGGUUGAACGCUGGCGGCAGGCCUAACACAUGCAAGUCGGACGGUAGCACAGAGGAGCUUGCUCCUUGGGUGACGAGUGGCGGACGGGUGAGUAAUGUCUGGGGAUCUGCCCGAUAGAGGGGGAUAACCACUGGAAACGGUGGCUAAUACCGCAUAACGUCGCAAGACCAAAGAGGGGGACCUUCGGGCCUCUCACUAUCGGAUGAACCCAGAUGGGAUUAGCUAGUAGGCGGGGUAAUGGCCCACCUAGGCGACGAUCCCUAGCUGGUCUGAGAGGAUGACCAGCCACACUGGAACUGAGACACGGUCCAGACUCCUACGGGAGGCAGCAGUGGGGAAUAUUGCACAAUGGGCGCAAGCCUGAUGCAGCCAUGCCGCGUGUAUGAAGAAGGCCUUCGGGUUGUAAAGUACUUUCAGCGGGGAGGAAGGCGAUGCGGUUAAUAACCGCGUCGAUUGACGUUACCCGCAGAAGAAGCACCGGCUAACUCCGUGCCAGCAGCCGCGGUAAUACGGAGGGUGCAAGCGUUAAUCGGAAUUACUGGGCGUGAAGCGCACGCAGGCGGUCUGUUAAGUCAGAUGUGAAAUCCCCGGGCUUAACCUGGGAACUGCACUUGAAACUGGCAGGCUUGAGUCUUGUAGAGGGGGGUAGAAUUCCAGGUGUAGCGGUGAAAUGCGUAGAGAUCUGGAGGAAUACCGGUGGCGAAGCGGCUCCUGGACAAGACUGACGCUCAGUGCGAAAGCGUGGGGAGCAAACAGGAUUAGAUACUCUGGUAGUCCACGCC